rnacentral:rRNA from 1 species
AGAGAGAGACAUGCGCGCAUAUCAAUAAGCGGAGGAAAAGAAACUAACAAGGAUUCCCUUAGUAACGGCGAGUGAAGCGGGAAGAGCUCAAAUUUGAAAUCUUCAAGGUUUUACCUUGACGAAUUGUAGUUUAAAGAAGUGUUUUCUGCUGAAGUUUUGGUAAAAGUUCUUUGGAAUAGGACAUCAUAGAGGGUGAGAAUCCCGUAUUUGACCAUUAUUUUCAGCUUUGUGAUAACACUUUCAAAGAGUCGGAUUGUUUGGGAAUGCAGUCUAAAAUGGGUGGUAAAUUUCAUCUAAAGCUAAAUAUUGGCGAGAGACCGAUAGCGAACAAGUACCGUGAGGGAAAGAUGAAAAGAACUUUGAAAAGAGAGUUAAACAGUACGUGAAAUUGUCAAAAGGGAAGCGUUUGACACCAGUGUUGUUUUCUCGAAAAUCAAUUAAAAAUGGCUCGAUUUUGUAUUGCUGAGACCUUAAAAGCUCACUGUACAUUUUUCGUGUCUUUUUUAAUGCACUUUUCGUUUAACAAGUCAACAUCAGUUUCUUUUGUUGUAAAAGGGUCAUUGGAAGGUGGCUUUCUUUUCGGAGAAAGUGUUUAUAGCUUUGGCCUCUGCAAUCGAAGAGACUGAGGUCUGCAGCGUAGACUCUUCGGGGUUAGAUACAUUUGUGCUAAGUUAUAGCUUUUUAUAGACAACUUGUUGACUAUAAUUAGUCUUGUAGCUUACUCGCUUAUGCUAUUUUACCUACGCUUAGGAUGUUGAAGAUGUAGCACAUCAU